rnacentral:rRNA from 1 species
UACAGAGGUCUCAAGCGUUGUUCGGAUUCAUUGGGCGUAAAGGGUGCGUAGGCGGGUCUUUAAGUCAGGGGUGAAAUCCUGGAGCUCAACUCCAGAACUGCCUUUGAUGCUGAAGAUCUUGAGUUCGGGAGAGGUGAGUGGAACUGCGAGUGUAGAGGUGAAAUUCGUAGAUAUUCGCAAGAACACCAGUGGCGAAGGCGGCUCACUGGCCCGAUACUGACGCUGAGGCACGAAAGCGUGGGGAGCAAACAGG